GCCGGUGUAGCACAGCGGUAGUGCAGCGGUUUUGUAAACCGAAUACCUGCCUCGCGCGCCCCGGCA
rnacentral:tRNA from 2 species